GACGAACGCUGGCGGCGUGCUUAACACAUGCAAGUCGAACGAAAAGAGGGAAAGAGCUUGCUCUUUCCGGAAUUGAGUGGCAAACGGGUGAGUAACACGUAAACAACCUGCCUUCAGGAUGGGGACAACAGACGGAAACGACUGCUAAUACCGAAUAAGUUCCAAGGGCCGCAUGGCCCAUGGAAGAAAAGGUGGCCUCUACCUGUAAGCUAUCGCCUGAAGAGGGGUUUGCGUCUGAUUAGCUGGUUGGAGGGGUAACGGCCCACCAAGGCGACGAUCAGUAGCCGGUCUGAGAGGAUGAACGGCCACACUGGAAUUGAGACACGGUCCAGACUCCUACGGGAGGCAGCAGUGGGGAAUCUUCCGCAAUGGGCGAAAGCCUGACGGAGCAACGCCGCGUGAGUGAUGACGGCCUUCGGGUUGUAAAACUCUGUGAUCCGGGACGAAAAGGCAGAGUGCGAAGAACAAACUGAAUUGACGGUACCGGAAAAGCAAGCCACGGCUAACUACGUG
rnacentral:rRNA from 1 species